rnacentral:lncRNA from 1 species
CAAAUAUCCUAAAAGACAUUGCACUUCAUCAUUCCAUGCCUUCAGACAUUUAAGGGCCAUGGAUGGUGAUCUCCUCCAGAGACAAAAUAAAUGCUGGUGCACAACAGGUGGCCACAGAGUGCAUCUGCUCUGGGGGACCCAUCGCUCAUAUACCCUCCCAGAAGAGCAGGAAAGGGGAUUCGUAAAUACGUUCUUCUGAUGGGGAAUGCUCUAUGAGGCCGCCUUCACAUGGUGAGUAGUGACCGUGACACCUCUGCAGCGUCCCUGGUCACUUGUAGCCCCUGAAAGGGUCAGCAGGAGCAGAUCACUUCUUUUCUUCAGGGCUGGAGAAAGUACCUCCGUGCAUUUUCCAGGUAAGAACUAACAGGGGCCGCGCACAUUGGCUUACGCCUGUAAUCUCAACCCUUUGGGAGGCCGAGGUGGGCAGAUCACCUGAGGUCAGGAGUUUGAGACCAGCCUGAACAACAUGGAGAAACUCUGUAUCUACUAAAAACACAAAAUUAGUUGGGCGUGGUGGCACGUUUGUAAAACCAGCUACUUGGGAGGCUGAGGCAGGAGAAUCACUUGAACCUAGGAGGCG